AUUUGACGUUGGUUGGCUGAACAGCUUGGUCUGUCAACAAAACAGACAGAAGUUUAUUUGGACAAAAAAAACAAGGCGGUAGCAGCCAGAAACUCCCUCUCUCAAUUGUCUGUCGGAAGCCACUUUAAUGUUGAAGAUAACAGCUUAUCUUUCUUUCAUCGUUUAGUGCAAUCUUUGACUUUGAAUUAGGAUACCAAAGAUAAUUGUUUCCGUGAACGACUUGCCCUGGGACCCUUGCAAAACAGUGGAAGCAUUCGGCGAAAAGAAGGCCGAUGAGAAACCUUCGGAUCAACAAGAACCAAUCCUUUAAAACAUUGUGGAAAAUGAAACCGAUUUUGUUGAUUCCAAGAAUGAGAGGGAUUAUUGUCCAGUCAAUCCUACAGUGACCAGUAACAUAAUUAAGGAGGACUACAAGAAACAUCCAUCAGCAUCCCAAUACAGAUUUGUGCAUAUGCCCAGCUAACCAGCUUUAUGUUGACAUCAAGAAAUGCUGACAUAAUUUGGAACUGGGAAGAACAGCACGAAGAUAAGAAGAGGAAACAUUUAGAAAUAUUCAGCUACUCAACUGUCAUAACGAGACGUUACAAUAGUAGAGCCAGAAAACAGCAAGAGACUACAUAGAAAAUCUUAUCCAGAAGGAAAUCAGGAACAAGUCCAAAUGAAUGGUCUCAUGAAACCGUUUGGUUCUAUAACCGUUUACUUGAAGAUGAACACAAAAUAUGGUCAGCGUUUGAGCGGAGAUUUUGACUCCCAAAAAUUCUCGGAUCACACAUGCUAUGUUAGUUACACCACUCCGAAAUUCAUUGCAGUGGAGACAAAAAGGUAUACAACAGAGUGAUCUACUGAGUGCACAUGUCUCAGAGCUGGUGACCAAAGAACUGAGGAUGCGUUGAGACGAGGUGUGAGAUGAGAGCAAAAGAUGGCAUGAUAAAACUGGGGAUGCAAAGUAGGAUGGAGAGGCUAUUGGAAAAGUUCUAAACGAAGUUGCUGAAAAAAGUCGAGCGGACUCGGAGUACUAAACGUGUUGCUCUCUACUUUAGAAUAAUUUACUUUUCAAAGAUUCACUGUUCAGCUAAUAAGAUCUGAGAAUUCCUAGAACCCAGUAUUUAUUCUCAGUAAAAAUCAGAAAAUAAAUGUUAAAGCAUCAAAUUCCAUACAUUCUCAGAUUCAAGUUGGUGAAAUUACGUUCUGCAGCACCCUGAAGUAUAUCACGUCAGUGUACUUAAAUAAAUAUUCAUCCAUCAUACAGAGGAUCAAGAGGGCGUAAAGUGGUUGCGCUGCUGUCUGCCUGCCAGUAACUCUUGGACAGCUGUUCUUGUUAGUGCAGAUAAAUGUAAAACCGAUACCUACUGGUGCAUUCUACAGAAUGCCCUGAUGACCAAAUACUCUUCAACUAACAGCAAUUUUUCCCCUUUUUCAUUAAAAAACACGAAGUAAGCUAUACAAAGCACACAGAUCUAUCUCGUGAAACAAUUACUUCAAAUUGCAUAGAAUUUGUUCAACUGUGUUUGGAGUAUUCAACGUGGUACAUUUCUAUAAUGACAUAUUUCUUAAAUUAUACACGGCUGCUGGUUUUGAUUUCUUAAUGUACAUCAUUACCACAUUGAGCCAGUUUCGCAACGGACGACGCUCUUGGUUACACAAAGCUCCUGGGUUCCAGUAUCUCAUUCGAAAUGCAUAGCCCUGUAAUCAGGUAUAUUCCGUUGGAUGUUGAUCUGGACAGAACACUUUUUUUAAAGUGUCAGGUACUGAGACUGAUGCCUUUCCUCAGAUACUUGCCCACACUAACUACAAAAUCAACUACUGAAUAUCAACUACUGAAGCCAAUAAACUGCAAAGUUUGGGAGCUAAAAUUGGAGUUUAUUUUUCAGAUUCAGUGUUGCAAUGAAACAUCACUAACAAGUCGGGACUUCUGAUUGAAAUAACACACAAACUUGGUAAAGUAUGUUUGAUGAUAACCAGGAGAACAUCCCUGUACCAUUCUCAUUCGAAGACAAACACAGAGGCCCAGUCGCUGAAUGAUACGUGCAACUUCAUUCGUUCGAUUCACUUAUUUUACGAAGUUGAAAACAUGUACUGUCCUUUUAAGAGAGUGUGAAUGCUGUUUUGCAAUGAGAGCUUGCAACCACCUUUCAUAUGACUAACCAGCAGUCUCGUAAUGCACUGGGAAUUGAAAAUAUAUAA